GGGGUUGGAGCUCAGCAGUAGAGCACUUGCCUAAUAUGCACAAGGCCCUGGGUUCCUUCCCCAGCACCGCCA
rnacentral:tRNA from 1 species